rnacentral:rRNA from 1 species
ACGUUAGGAAUCUACCUAGUAGUGGGGGAUAGCCCGGGGAAACUCGAAUUAAUACCGCAUACGACCUACGGGAGAAAGGGGGCAACUUGUUGCUCUCGCUAUUAGAUGAGCCUAAGUCGGAUUAGCUAGAUGGUGGGGUAAAGGCCUACCAUGGCGACGAUCUGUAGCUGGUCUGAGAGGAUGAUCAGCCACACCGGGACUGAGACACGGCCCGGACUCCUACGGGAGGCAGCAGUGGGGAAUAUUGGACAAUGGGGGAAACCCUGAUCCAGCCAUGCCGCGUGUGUGAAGAAGGCCUUUUGGUUGUAAAGCACUUUAAGCAGUGAAGAAGACUCUUCGGUUAAUACCCGGAGACGAUGACAUUAGCUGCAGAAUAAGCACCGGCUAACUCUGUGCCAGCAGCCGCGGUAAUACAGAGGGUGCAAGCGUUAAUCGGAAUUACUGGGCGUAAAGCGAGCGUAGGUGGCUUGAUAAGUCAGAUGUGAAAUCCCCGGGCUUAACCUGGGAACUGCAUCUGAUACUGUCAGGCUAGAGUAGGUGAGAGGAAGGUAGAAUUCCAGGUGUAGCGGUGAAAUGCGUAGAGAUCUGGGAGGAAUACCGAUGGCGAAGGCAGCCUUUCUGGCAUCAUACUGACACUGAUGGCUCGAAAGCGUG